AGCUCUCUGCUAAAGGUUACUGAAGUAUAGAGGGUGAAUUCUGCCCAAUGGUUGUACAGUGAAACUGAGGACUAACGUCUAAAGCGAAACCCAACUGAAUGGCCGCGGUAACUCUGACCGUGAUAAUGUAGCACAAUAAAUAGCCAAUUAAUUGUUGGCGGGUAUGAAUGGAACCACGAGGGUCUUACUGUCUCAAGAGGAAAGCCGAUGAAAUUAUAGUUGUAGUGAAGAUACUACAUAAACAUUGUAAGACGAAAAGACCCUAUCGAGCUUUACUGGAUACCGAUAGCGUUAACUUAAAAUGAUCGAUACUAAGUAUCCUAAUUUUGAGUUAAUAAUUUUUGUUGGUAGGACAGUUUAGUUGGGGCGACUACCUUUGAAUAAGAAACGAAGGCGAGCUUAUGGUAUACAAAGCUAAUCUCAUUAGCCUGACAGUGAGGGGGACACCCCUAGCUGGCACAAGGACUACGUCCUAUGUGGGCGAUAAUGACCCGAUAUGAUAGUCCAAAAUAAAUAUCGAAAGCGGAUAAAAGCUACCGUAGGGAUAACAGCGUAAUAUUGUCGGAGAGUUCUUAUCGAGGACAGUGUUUGCGACCUCGAUGUUGAAUUGCGGUGCCCUGGUGCUGUAGAAGGUACCUUAGGUUGGUCUGUUCGACCAUGAAAACCG
rnacentral:rRNA from 1 species